AAUAAAGGUCCACUGUAUAGUUUAUAGAAUUAGUUUUUUAGUGGAGUUGAUGAUGCCUUUCCAGUUACUAAAAAAUCUUCAUUUAGCAUUCAGUCGUAGUACCUGGGAAUCAUGGAGGUGGGGAGUGAAUGAAUUGCCAUGUGGGAGGAAGUGAGAGUAAGUGGAAAGUGGCUUUUCCAGGCUGACAUUUGAUGCCAUUGGGAUCUCUGAUUUUUUUCCUCUCUCCCUCCCCUCCCCCUGAGGAAACAAUGCCCUUUUGAUAAUAAUUUGCUCUCUGCCUGCCUGACAAGUACUCAGCUGAGAUUUCUCAGCCAACAAGACAGUACAAACACUUGCGGUACCAAGCACCACUUUCUCAAACCCUGGCCUCAUUGAGGUGAUAACAACUGUCCUGCUCAAGGGAUUCCCCCUUUCCCCCUCUUCCUCACUCCUUCCCCCACCUCCUCUUGGUGUUAUACAGGGAUAUCAUGUCCAUUUAUAAGGAGCCUCCUCCAGGAAUGUUCGUUGUACCUGAUACUGUUGACAUGACUAAGAUUCAUGCAUUGAUCACAGGCCCAUUUGACACUCCUUAUGAAGGGGGUUUCUUCCUGUUCGUGUUUCGGUGUCCGCCCGACUAUCCCAUCCACCCACCUCGGGUCAAACUGAUGACAACGGGCAAUAACACAGUGAGGUUUAACCCCAACUUCUACCGCAAUGGGAAAGUCUGCUUGAGUAUUCUAGGUACAUGGACUGGACCUGCCUGGAGCCCAGCCCAGAGCAUCUCCUCAGU
rnacentral:lncRNA from 1 species